rnacentral:misc_RNA from 1 species
AAACCCAUUCGUGUCGCGAAAACUGUCCGAAAAAACUCUCUCCGUCUCGCUUGCGCGCGCGCUCCGCAGUGUGAAAAAUGAAAAUGAUCUCGUCGUUGUGUUCGCGUUAUUUUCACUGAUAUAGUUCACGUACGUGCAACGAUACCAAUAAUAGUAAUAAUAAUAAUAAUAAUAAUAGUAAUAGUAAUAAUAAUAACACCAUACGAAUCGAUCCGGGAGCAGUGAAUGAUACACACAAUAAUAUAUAGUGUACAAGUAUUUAUACGCUACAACACACGUCAUUCAUAGUCACAUAGUCAACGCAUAUACAAUAUAUGCACGCACACACGCUCACGGUCGCGUUGAUUUUUGUUUUCGUUGUUUUUUUUUUUUUUCUUGCCGCUGGUUUCUUUUUUUCUUUGUUUUUUUUAAUUUGAUUGUUCAUCUCGCGCCGACGAAAACGCGGUCGUAUCGUGGCUGCCUCGAGCCAGUGGGUGUUGUUGCUGUGAGCGCGCGCGCGUGUGGUGCACCGUGAAAAUCGCGUACUCCGUGCGUCUCGUCGGUAACGCACCAGGGCAAGAGGCAACAACAAUCACGUUUCCGUCGACUCGUCCACCAGCUAAACGACCGCCGCCACUAACGAACGUCUAUCUCCUGACCACUUCAACAACGGACUCUUGGUGGUGCACUGAUGUUGCCGCAGGCAUGAGCGUUGCCUUGUGCUCAAUGUGGCGCCCAAUCAAAUGGAUAGAGACAAUGUGACUGCUAUGGAAACUGAUAAAAUAGUGGAUGACGAUAUCGGUAAUCCUCAGUAUUCACCAAUGACGAUAUUAUACGAUCCAACAAUCCGAAAAGAUUCUGCAACCAAUGGUGUUGCAUCUCCACAAUUUGCCACUGAACAAGAGUUGUGUCUUAUGUACUUUGAUAAAUGGAGCGAACAGCAUCAAAUCGACUUUGUCGAACACCUAUUGUCUCGGAUGUGUCACUACCAACAUGGACACAUCGACACAUAUUUAAAACCCAUGUUACAGAGAGAUUUCAUAUCACUCUUACCCAAAAAAGGCCUAGAUCAUGUGGCCGAAAAUAUUUUAUCCUAUCUUGAUGCUGAGUCUUUAUAUGCUGCAGAAUUGGUGUGUAAAGAAUGGUAUAGGGUAAUAUCAGAAGGUAUGUUAUGGAAAAAGCUAAUUGAACGUAAAGUACGUACCGAUUCAUUAUGGCGAGGUCUUGCUGAACGAAGAGGGUGGAUUCAAUACUUGUUCAAGCCAAAGCCAGGCGAACAUCACCCAGACCAUUUCUCCUAUAGGGCUCUGUUUCCUAAAAUAAUACAAGAUAUAGAAAGUAUAGAAUCAAAUUGGCGAACUGGCCAUUUUCUAUUACAAAGGAUAAAUUGCCGUUCAGAAAACUCCAAAGGUGUAUAUUGUUUACAGUAUGAUGACAAUAAAAUUGUCUCAGGUUUACGUGAUAAUACCAUAAAAAUAUGGGAUAGAAAUACAUUAGAAUGUGUUCAGGUAUUAACUGGCCAUACCGGGUCAGUUUUAUGUUUACAAUAUGACGACAAAGUGAUUGUGAGUGGUUCCAGUGAUAGUACAGUUCGAGUAUGGAAUGUUGUUAACGGUGAAAUGGUCAACACUCUAAUACACCAUUGUGAAGCAGUAUUACAUUUAAGGUUUAGCAACAAUAUGAUGGUCACUUGUUCAAAAGAUCGAUCAAUUGCUGUAUGGGAUAUGGUGUCACCUAGUGAAAUGACUUUACGUCGUGUCUUAGUUGGACACCGAGCUGCAGUAAAUGUGGUUGAUUUUGAUGACAAGUAUAUUGUAUCAGCUUCCGGAGAUCGUACUAUUAAAGUAUGGAACACAUCAAGCUGUGAGUUUGUACGAACUCUUAAUGGUCACAAACGUGGUAUUGCCUGUCUUCAAUAUAGAGACCGAUUAGUUGUUAGUGGAAGUUCUGAUAACACCAUUAGGUUAUGGGACAUAGAAUAUGGUGCAUGUUUGAGAGUACUUGAAGGGCACGAAGAACUUGUACGGUGUAUUAGGUUUGAUAGUAAAAGAAUUGUUAGUGGAGCAUAUGAUGGGAAAAUCAAAGUAUGGAAUUUAGUAGCAGCUUUAGAUCCCAGAGCUCCAGCAUCAACUCUAUGUCUCCGUACACUUAUGGAGCACUCUGGACGAGUAUUUCGACUCCAGUUUGAUGAGUUUCAAAUAGUCAGUUCUUCACAUGAUGAUACAAUACUAAUUUGGGACUUCCUCAACUAUAAUGAUACAAAUAACUCUGCAGCGGGUCCAUCAAAUAGUGUUGGCAUGCAUGGUGCUACAUCUCAUGCUAACGACACUCUUCCUCCUUUACCACCAGGUUUUGAGUGAUCCAAUGGGCUAGUCAUCCAUAACUAACCAGAUUAUGUUCGUGUACAAAUAAUACAGAACUCAUCUUAAAAUAUUGAUGAAAGAUGACAUUUGAAUACCACUGUUUGGAUUCAUAACAACGCGAACUUACACAAUGUGCACAUCUUAAAAGAAAUUUUGGACUAACAGGUUUGUU